rnacentral:misc_RNA from 1 species
GAACCGCGAAAUGUAAUGUGAAUUGCAGAGUUCGUGAAUCAUCAAAUCUUUGAACGCACAUUGCACUGCUUGGAAUUCCAGGCAGUAUGUCUGUUUGAGUAUCUGUUAACCAUCAAUGGAUUCCCUGGGCUUCAUUCAUUCUGUCAAGGGUGUAUGAGUCCUCGAAAUCUGUUGGACAUGGGACUCUUAGUGGCAACACCAAAGUCCUCAAAUAGAUAUCAACUUGUCUCACGACAUGUCUGUAGGUAGACCUCUCGGGGUUUACUUACACCUGCAUCUGAUAUUGAAGAACCAUUCCUCGAUACCGUGAAAGAUGUAGGCUUGACCGAGUACGAAAGCCUAGGCUCAAGUCUCAACUCAUGAUCUCAAAUCAGACAAGACUACCCGCUGAACUUAA